AUUGAACGCUGGCGGCAUGCCUUACACAUGCAAGUCGAACGGCAGCACGGGAGCAAUCCUGGUGGCGAGUGGCGAACGGGUGAGUAAUAUAUCGGAACGUGCCCAGUCGUGGGGAUAACGUAGCGAAAGCUACGCUAAUACCGCAUACGAUCUAUGGAUGAAAGCGGGGGAUCGCAAGACCUCGCGCGAUUGGAGCGGCCGAUAUCAGAUUAGGUAGUUGGUGAGGUAAAGGCUCACCAAGCCGACGAUCUGUAGCUGGUCUGAGAGGACGACCAGCCACACUGGGACUGAGACACGGCCCAGACUCCUACGGGAGGCAGCAGUGGGGAAUUUUUGGACAAUGGGCGCAAGCCUGAUCCAGCAAUGCCGCGUGCAGGAUGAAGGCCUCGG
rnacentral:rRNA from 1 species